UCCUAAUCAGCGCGAGCCGCAGCCCCCGCUGACGCGAAUCGCGACCUCCGCGCGACCCUCCGCUGACCCGGUCUCCCUGCCGCCUGGAGCGAUGAAACCGCACCCUCGCGCCCAAGCCCAGACUCAAAACUCAGCCAAACCCCUCGCAUCUUCCUGUGGUGGCGUCCUCCUCCAACGUUGGUCCGUGUUUGUCUCCAUGGCGCUCUCGAAUGCCUAAGCCAAGGCCGACCGCGUCGAGCUGGUGCUGCAGGUGCUCGACGAAACGCCCCGCAGGACCGAGUUCUCGUAGACCAUGCUCGUCGAUUCGCUGGCGAGGGCCGGCCGACAGCACGACGCAUUCUGCCUCUCUGCGGAGAUGCGGGCCUCCAGCGUGGCCUGCGACUCCCACGUCUGCGUAUGUCACUACGGGAAGAGCUACAUAUUCAUCGUAAAUUAUGUGCAAAGGUUAGUCUGUUAAGCAUCUUGCAGAUAUCUGCAAGGAUUCUAUAUGAUUCCAGAGUAGAUGUAAUAGGUAUUCAGGUAAAUACAAAUGAAGUUAUACUGCACUGUUUUGUCAAUCGUGUUUAGAGAUUUAGAUUGGUAAGCCAUUUAUGUACGUUGCAAAUACAUUCUUUCUGUUCCCUAUAUCAUAAUGUAAACAAUUAUGUACCUUCCUCUCUGCAAGUCUGUACAGCAGUACAGACAAGCUGAAGACUCAGAGGUGUAGAGACGACAUGGUGUUUGCUGAGGGUUGCAAGACCCACUGUUGCAUAGGCUGAUCUAUGCGUCACACCAUGAGGAGUAGACUGAUCCAGCACGCACAAGGUCUGGUACCUCUAGAUUAGCAAAGCCACAGAACAUUGAACGGCACGGCAGGUCCUGCGGUGACUUCUCCAUCAAAUUCGGAUCAAAUAGAGUGAUGAACUUGGAUGCUUCAAAUCGUGGCUUAUCCAUCAGCUUCGAAUCGGAUAGAGUACUACUGAACAUGGACAAUAUAAAUCACAGUUUCUCCAUCAUCUUCAUAUCAAACAGGAUACUACUGAACUUGGAUACUAUAAAUCGAAAACCAUCUAGGGUAUACAUCCUUAAUACUCAGAUCAGACCUUGAGCGAUUGUAAUCUAACCUAUUUGAUUGUGAGGGGCAGGCAACAGGUUCGAUUGUGCUGCUCGGUUUCGCAGAACGCGAAGAAAAGGUACAAGAAGGGCCUGGCCUGGUAUGUGCGCUGAGUUGGUAAUUUAUGGGGCGUCGAGGAGCGCAUCCCGUUUAUUUGUAUUCUAUUAAGAUAUUCUAAACCGAACGGCACGGUCAGACCUGUUCCAACCCGAGGGGCCAGCACUGCUCCAACUCGGGAUCACACGUCUGUAUUCUAUAUCUUUUGUAGAAAAACUUAUUAAACUUUUGGUCUUCACUUUUCUUCUUGUCAGGCUGAACUGAUUUAUCUCAUAGUCGGAGGUGAUUUUUUUCUUAUGAUUAUGAUCCUAAAGGGGAUUCAGUUGGACCGUGCUGUUUUGCUAUAACUGUAAAGUUAGGGUGCCAAAUAGUUGAUGCACCUGCUUCAUCAUCUAGAAAAAAGAAAUAAAGGAGAUUUCUGAUGAGUUUCAUUUUUUCUUUUUAUGGAACCUUCGUUGGUGGCUCGAGCAACAUAUAAAGGUGAUCAUCACUUCCGACGAGUUGAGUUUUAUUACUUACUAUUUCCUUCCUUGCGAUUCUUAGCUGCUAGGAGCUUUCAAGUCGUUCCCUCCCAUCAUCUAGAGUAAUUUCAGAUCUCUACAGGUUAUAUAAGUAACUUCCCUUAUGCAAACCUGUAUGUUAGUUGUGUAUAUAGAAUUUUGAAGAGAAAAAGUAUUUUUUCGAAUACAGACUUUGUUCUGCCCUUGAAUCCUCCAUUUUAAAUAGCAGCUUGAUGUACUAGUUCUCAGGUCAUGCUGCUAUAAAAUAAUUGGAAGGCCAUAGUUUAUUUGAUUGAAUUGAGGAUCUUAAAUAUCCCAUUCUUAGCUAGAGAAGGAACUUUUUGCUUUUUUCUAGGUUCAUAUUAAGAUACAACUGCAUCAUACCAAAUAGAGCCAUACUUUUGGGAGGAAACUAAUCAUAACUGCAGAGAGCAACAAAUAGAAGAGGAGCUCAAAGUGUGGAACUGAUUUUAGGAUGUUUCAUUUAGAGUUUGAUGUCAACUCCCUCCACAUAUUGGGUUAUUGUUGUAGAAAAGGUUCUUUUUGCGUUCACAUAUUUCAUUUUUUAUUGUUUUUUACAAAUGCUUUGUUGGAUACUGCUUUUCAGUGUAGAAGCAGUAUUGAAUAGCAUCCUCAGUUUGGAAAGCUAGAUGCUUAGCAUCAUAUACUAACAAAUUACUUUUACAAGAAUACAAAAGUAAUAAUUGAUUUUCAUAUGGCAAUAUCAAGUAGUACUGUAUGUACCAUAUUUAUGCAGUACUUUCGGGGAUGGCAUGUUGUUUAAAUCUUUAUGCGUGUGAUAUUAUCUUUGUGUGGUAUGUUCAUGCACAUCUUUUGAUUUCUUAUCUUCUACCGUCACCUUCCAUCUAUCAAGGAUAGUGACUACUGCACGUAAAAUUGUGCAAAGGCCACCUUACUUCGCAACAGCACCUAGGGCACUUAUUCAUGAUAGUUAACGUUAGCCUUAUUUUUUGGGUUGUAUGAAUCAAGAGCUGCACAUUAGUCUAUUUCUUUUUUUUCUUUUAUUCAAUCUCUGCUAUGCGGUGUGACAAUUUGUAUUUUCAAUUGAAAACUUCGUGUGGGCAAUAAAUGCCAUUAGUUGUUCAGCAUGGACUCUUGUGUACAUAAUGCUACAAUUUUGGUAUAUUUAUAAGGGAGUACAUUUUGCUUCUACCUCCUAUUCAAGUUAGUUGUAUCCAUAACAACAUGAUAGCUUUUAGUAUUCUAUCAUAAAGUUGUUCACUGGUUCCCAUAGAGUUUUUGUUUGCUUGCAUUUCUAUUAGAUAGAAAUAAAUCAUGGUAUCGUGCGAUUUAUCUGACUAUAUGCUGAGUUGUAUGGAUGUUUUCUUUUCAAGGUGAACUGUUGGAAAUAAUAUUGAUCUUGGUUCUCCGUUGCUUAUGAUUCAUGGUACUUGAGAACUCCUGGUCAUGUGAGAUACUAAUAUUUUUAUUUUGAUACAGUUAAAGUACCAGUGUGCAGAGGAGGCAUGUAGGUGAUGCUUUUCAAAAUAACAAGGUACGACUAUGUCAAAUAAUGACCUUAAUGCAGAGUAAAUAGGAUAAACAGUCUUGAUGUUUGGUACGCUGGAAUUUUUUUGUAAGAGAAAUCAUUAAACAUAAAUGUUCGGACUUUGUGAAGUCUCACAUUUAACAAAAUCUGGGAAGGCACACACCCAUAUACAUUAUUGUCAUAGCCCAAACAAGAAAGCAUCUAGAUUCACUUGCAUUGCCAUGGCCAAGUGAUGAAUUUUCAUGAUGCUCCUAUGGCAUAAAACAAAUUAAAAAGGUUGUCAUUAAUCAUUGUUGGAGUUGUGGUAAAACAUAUACCAAAUUAUUUGGUUCAUGUGAACUGAUCUAGAAACCAUAUUCUGUAUCAGCAACUCAGCGCACCAGCUGACUAGAGAGCAAAUGUAAGCUUACCACAAACACUAAAAGCCUUCUUCCAACUGGUAUGGCAGUUCCAGUUGGCUUCUCCCUAUGUGUGUUUCAAAUCAAAAUGUGCAAGAGACACAUACUCAAUUGAAGACCCAUUCUUGGUGCCUAAAACAUUAAUAAACGCUUAUGUAGUUCCAAACCUCAUGACAUAACAUAGCAAGUUGAUUGCAGUUAGCUUACCACUAAGAGGGCAUUUUUUGUAACAGUCGAUGGUGCCUGGCGCGAUUUCACCAAUUCAGGACCCGCUUUCAUCAUUUGUGUAUGGAGUCCUGAAUGAUGGAUGAUUACUACCCAGCCAUGUACCAGCAGUUGACACUGGAUUCGUUCAAAAAGAUCUUGUGAAUUCUACAAUAAACUACAAACUUAUAAUUUCCUAAACCUGUAUUUGACUAUUUGUUAGCAUACUGCACAGUAGUGAAAGCAGAGACAUUCAGUAGUUAGAUGGGUAGAAACUUUUUUUUUUCUGGAAUACGCAGGAGAGCUGCGCAUCUUUGUAUUAAUAGAAGAAAAGAAAAAAGGGGGGGGGGGAGAAACCCCAAUACAACACACACACCACUAGAGACUAACUACGGAUCACCGACUAAAACAUGGAAGAAACACGACCCACACCGCUGUAUUAAACCAGCAACUCAUCGACUUGGAGGAAGGACAAGGCCUUGGCACCAGUCAUGGACCAGAGCACCGCCUCUUCCCUAGCCAUCCUAAUGGCCAUGACCAAGUUGGGAUUACAACCAUCAAAAACACACCUAUUCCUAUGCUUCCAAAUGGUCCAAGCACCUAGAAUCACUAAAGAAUUGAAACCAUCUCUCACAAGAUCCGAUGCCCGGGAGCUGCUAGACUUCCACCACGACUCAAAGGAUUCCUCAUGAACUGGAUACAGAUCCCGCAGCCCCACUGAAUUAAGAAAAUCAAACCAGAACUGCUUAGCAAAAACACACUUGACCAGCAAAUGAUUUAUGGUUUCAGCCUCUUGGUCGCACAAGGGGCACUGUUCUGGUCGGUCUAGCCCUCUUUUUCUGAGCCUGUCAGCAGUCCAGCACCUAUUAUGUUCCACAAGCCAAAUAAAGAACUUGCACUUCCCAGGAGCCCAAGAUUUCCACACCCGCUCUGCUGGUUCGAACUGAACUGAACCAAGGAAUAGAGCAUUAUAAGCAGAACUAGAAGAAUAAUCACCUGAAGCGCUGAAUUUCCAUAAAUGACGAUCCCUUAUUCCAGGCUGGAGCACAACAGCAUCAAGUACUUCACAAAGUUCCAGGAAUUCAGCGAUGACUCUGACUGAGAUUGCCCCUUGCACAUCGGAGUGCCAAAGGAAAUUAGGGAGAGCAUCUUUGACCAAUCGACCAUUGGCAAGACGCAAAGGCACCAACUCAAACAAAGCAGGAGCUAUGUCCUUAAUACAUCUCCCCUCCAACCAUCUAUCCUUCCAGAAAAGGGUAUUAGCUCCAUCACCGAGCUUAGUAAUAAUGGCUGCAGCAAUCAGAUUUUUAACCACCUUACAAACAUGAAUGGGGAAGUCUGCCCAAGGCCUACUGGGGUCUGUUUUCUGCAGCCACGGCCAGCGAGCUCUCAAAGCCCAACAGAGGUUCUUUAACUCACUAAUCCCCAGACCACCCAACUCCUUGGGACGGGUAACCUUAGGCCAAGCCAAGAGGCAGUGACCACCACAGAACUCUUUCCUACCCCUCCAGAGGAAACCCUUCCUCAGCUUAUCGAUUGCUUUGAUGGCCCAAACAGGAAGGUCAAGUGCCAGAGCUGCAUAAAUCAUCUUAGACGUCAUGACAAACUGCACAUGAAUAGCUCUACCAGCCCUGGUCAUAAGUUCAGCUUUCCAUCCUGGCAAAAGGCUGGCCACUCUAUCAACAAUAGCCUGAACCUGGUCCCUUGUGAGUUUCUUGGGAGACAGAGGCAAACCGAGGUACUUACAGGGAAAAACUGAAAUAUUGCAUGGCAGCAAGUCCUGUAAACAAUUCACCUCUUCUUCCCCACAACAGAUUGGAAACACACUGCUCUUCUGGACAUUAGUCCUUAGACCUGAAGCUGAACCAAAUAACUGAAGAAUAUCCAUAACCAUACUGAUAUCUGGGGUAGUAGGACAUAGAAAUAACACUGCAUCAUCCGCAUACAACGAGAAACGGUGCUGCAUACUCCUAGAAGAAAGAGGCUGAAGAAACCCUUCCUCAGAGGCUCGCUGCACAAGCAGAUUCAAGACAUCCAUUACAAGAAUAAACAACAUAGGCGAUAGAGGAUCACCCUGCCUCAGUCCACGUUGAUGCCCAAUACAAUCCCCUGGCAGACCAUUUAAUAAAAUUUUGGUAGAAGAUGAAGCUAACAGCCCGCAUAUAAUAUCACACCAGAGCUGUCCAAAACCCAGUUUUUUCAAGACCUCGAGAAGAAAGGCCCACGAUACCGAGUCAAAAGCCUUUGAAAUGUCAAGUUUGAGAAGGAUACGAGCCUGCUUCUGACAAUGUAAGAAUCUGGUCGUCUGCUGGACUAGCAUGAAGUUGUCAAGAAUAAACCGUUUUUUUAUAAAAGCGGUUUGAUUGGGGGAAACCAUACGUUGCAGCCGGUCUGCUAAUCUGUUAGCCAACAAUUUAGUUACCACUUUCGCGAAACUAUGAACCAGACUUAUUGGGCGGAAGUCUCUCACACUAUUGGCCCCCUCCACCUUGGGCAGAAGAGUGAUGAAUGCUGAAUUCAGCGAACCCAAGUUUCUGAAAUUUCUGGCCCAAAUGCAGCGAAUGGCUGCCAUAAAAUCAGCCAUGAUGACCGACCAACAACACUUGUAAAAUCUACCAGUGAACCCAUCAGGACCCGGGGAUUUGUCCGAAGGGAGGGCCUUAAUUGUAUCCCAGACCUCCUCCACCGAGACAGGCGCAUCCAGGGCAACGAGGUCAAAGGAUGGCAUCCCAAGAGCAUCCAGAUCAACUGUAACAUCCCUUACUUCUGCAGUUCCAAGUAACCCUUGAUAAAAAUUAAAGAAGGCUGCUGCCUUUCCUUCAUGGGCAGUCCAGAUUUGCCCAUCCUCUGAGUGUAUUGCUGCAAUGAAAUUCUUUUUCUUCCUGAACCUUGUUUGUGCAUGAAAGAGAGAUGUAUUGGCAUCCCCAUCUUUGAGCCACCCAAUCCGCGAUUUCAACCUUGCCACGGUACGAGAAAUAGAAGACAGGGCAAGGGAGUGCUUCUUGAGCAUGUUCCGGAGCCACAAUUCAGCAGGAGAUAAAGAGCGGUUGUCCUGCGCAACCUCUAAUUGAUGAAGGAGCUCCCUAGCCAUCUCCAACUGCAGCUUAAUCUUCCCAACUUUUUUGUCGUUCCAGCCCUGCAAACACCUAGCUGUUGCCUUUAACUUCUUAGCGAAGGUAAGUAGAGGGCACGACCCUGCAGGAACAGACGCCCAAGAAUGGGCUACCACAUCAAUAAAUCCCUCCAUCUUAGGCCAAAAUGCUUGGAAAUGAAAUCUCCCUUUUCCUCUGCUGAAAUCAUGAAACCCAAGCAGCAAAGGGCAAUGGUCGGAGUCAUCCGUGGCUGAACUCUGGAGAAGAGAAUCUGGGAAUUGUUCCUCCCAAUCUGUUGUGCAGAAAACCCUAUCCAAUUUGACCAGGGUAGGAUUAGAGUGACCAUUCGACCAUGUAUAUUUCCGGCCAACCAACGGAAUUUCAUUAAGGGCCAAAUCAUUUGCCCAUCUCCUGAACCUGCCCAUCAUGGCACGGUCUAAGUUAUUAUUAUUCUUCUCUUCCUCCCUUAAGAUCAGAUUAAAAUCCCCCAGCACAAGCCAUGGCCCAGUACAAAGAGCCCUAAUUUCUCUAAGAGAUUGUAGAAAUUGAAUCUUCUCUUGAUUCCCUUGCGGACCGUACACACAUGUAAGCCACCAAGGAGGGCUGGUGCUUGAAUGAAAGUUCACAGAGACGCUAUGACCGUCCACCCUGCUACUAGCACAAAUACCAAUGCUAUUUUUCCAAGCCACCAAGAUGCCACCACUAGCACCAACAGAUGGUAGGAAAACAAAAUUGUCAAAAGCAGGACCAAGCAUCCGCAAUACAAGGAACCGAGAAAUAUCCACCAUUUUAGUCUCUUGAAGACAAACCACAUCAACUCGAGCAGAAUCCACCAAAGUACGAACAGCAUCCUGUCUAGCAGACCCAUUAAGACCUCGCACGUUCCAAAUAAGAAAUUUUGAAGGAUCCAUAAGAGAUGAAAAGAGAAACGACUACCAGGGAGGGACCCAACAAAUCAGCAGAUUGGUCCGCCCUGCAGCACCUCCAAAGGCCUAGACCAGCCGAAUAACGCUGCCAUGGCCGUGACCUGUACCUCAGAAAGCCCUUUGCUGAAAACUCUGGCAUACUCAUCAAGGUCUUCUGGCCUAAUAGUCACAGCCUCAUCAGCCUUCACAAUACCAAGUUCCUUCAAAAUACGUUUCUUGCCCUGUGUGGCCGGUGGAGGAGUAGGCAGCCUCUCCACACCUGCACCAGCGACCCUUCUACUGCGUCGGGGGAUCACCUCAGUGACUGAAGCCUUGCCCUGUCGCGGCCUUCUGACUGGCGCCCUCAGAAUCCCACCAGCUGGUCUGGUCAGCUUAUCGAUAAAAUCUUUUGCACCCGAAGGGGGGGGGGAGGGGACGGGGACGCGCCAAGCAACUGACUGGGUUGGCUAUCCUUCUUCCUCCUCUGUCGAAAGUAAGUAAUGAUGGGGCCUCUCCGAGAUAGGCGACUCGACGUUCGCGCAUCCACCAAGGCUGACAUCUGCCCUCCCAUGUCGAGAGUGGCCCGAGACGGAGAUCCCAGGGGUGACCCCUGAAUUGCCUGCUCCUUCUCACAACCACCCAAAGAGCAACAAACUGCCGGAGCCCUCAAGGGUGAAGAGGGGGAAGAUGGAACUGGCAGGGGGGAGUGAACUGGGCAACCACCGGACAGCCCCGACGCCCCAGCCUCCACCAUGCAGGCCUGCUCAUGACUCCUGCCGAAACCGUCCACAUUAUCUUCAGACGCCUCAAUCAAAGCCUCAAUAUUUAAUUCCUUGACAGCAGGGACAAGCUCCUCUAAAUUAGAAGAACCAGAAAAAGAUGUCUCCUUUGAAACCUCCUGUUCCAGCACUUCCUGUGAAAUAGCCACGUGGCGGGGACAGACUGGCAGCGGACCUAGUCUCUCAUGCACGGGGCGCCGAACGGCCAACGCUUCGGCAGGGCCUCCCUGCCCUGCCGGAGGAGCUUGCUGCAGGCGACGUCGACGAGACCUAGUGUCUCGAUCAUCAUCAGACGCCGGCGGCGACGGGGGAGGGGAAACCUCGCCCGCCGGCGGAGAGAUCAGAGACACCGAGGCCGUCACCUGAUAAGCCAGAAGAUUCUUCACAGUGGCCUCCACUUCAAAACUCUGAACCGGCUCCGGAAUCAAUAGAUCAACAGCAACCGGAAUGAGCUCUGGAUGCCGGCACCAACCAAGAACCCUGAAGGAGGAUAAGUUCAGACGAGCAGCAGUGUCGGGAUGAAGCUCCAAUGCCGUGCAGUGCGCUCGCAACAAACUUCUAGCAGUUUCCACACUCCAUGCAUGCAACGGGACUCCCUCGAAGCUCACAGACACGAAGGAAGGCAGGGAAACCGCUUCAGCGUGUGCAAGCCUUGACCACUUGAUGAACUUGAAAGACCCAGAAGGUGAGUUGAGAACAGCUCCGUUGUUGAAUAUACGCAAUGCUGCUUGCUCAUUUUGCAAGAUAAUAACGAAAUCUUCAGGCGCCGAACGGUGGACUGAAAAACUUGCAGGAUCAAGCUCAUACUCCGCUGUAAUUUCUGCCGCCAAAAGCUCAGCAGUCACCGGCGGCCGUGAACCAAUGACCACGGCGAACAGAGCACAACGCCGAAGAUUGUUCUCCACCAAAGUUAAAUCCCUUGCACGCUCAAGGACGCAAACCGGCCGUGCCGCCAAGCCUGCAGUCUUCACCACAGCCGACUGAUGAGAGGGUAGCCGAACGGAGCUGUCAUCAUCCACUGGUGGCAAGUUAGCAGCGCUCCUAGAACGGGGCCUUCUCCCCCUGGUACGAUGUCGACCCUUCCUGGAGUGAAUCAUCGACUGACCAGGCCCGUCCUCAGCAGCAGCUUGCCUUCCAUGAUCCAUGGGAGGGGAGACCCUCCGCCAAACCAGCCUCCGCUUAGAGAACGGAACUGAAACCUCCACUGGUUGACUGCCUAAGCGCUCCCACACAGGACGGCGGGCGACGAGUGGAAGCAGGACUGGACCGCCAGACGGAACCUUGGUCACGUCGUGCCCACGAUCGGCGCCAGGACAAUCAGCAGCACGGUGGCCCGGCCGUCGGCAACGCAAGCAGCAGGACGGACGUCGGCAUGCAGCCGCACGAUGGGACGUCGCCAAGCAGUUGAAACACCUCCCCCGGAGAUCCUGCGGGACCGGUCGACGGGGAAGGGGAAGGCGGGGGCGCUCAGCCAGACGACGACGACGACGGGACCACCUAGUCUCCACUUGAAUCCAGCCCUCUGCGUCUGAAGGCGGCGAGAUCCCUUGCAGACGACGGUCACCAGGGCAGUCCUUCAACCUCACGAUCGGGACGGACCACGCCGAAGAGACGCGAGAAGAGGUCGCCGGCCUAGCACGAGCUGCCGGCCGAACACGAACCGCCGGCUGGGAGAGCAGAGCUGCACAGAAGGUCUUUGCAGCGGACGUCCCACCAAGCCCACAAGCCGGUGAGAGAGGGCCGGAGUCCGCCCAUCGCUGUGCCUUGGAUCGCCCGGCCGGGAGAGACGGCACAACAGCAGCGGACGACGAAGAAAAAGGGGGAGGCGCGCAGGGAGAAGGUGAGAAGGCCGCCGGGAAGGAAGCAGCGGCCGGGAAGGUGGUCGCCGAGCCCGGGGUGGACGUCAACGAGAGGCUGUGGGGAGGGCAGGGGACGGCGCCGGCGAAGGAGGGGAGGGUGGAAGACGAGGCGCGAGGGGAGGGGGACGAGGCGACCCGGGCGGGAGCCGAGGCGGCCAGGGCGGGAGCCGAGGCGGCCAUGUUCAGAUGGGUAGAAACUUAAGAGCAUACUUCUUGACUUAUCAGGUCCACACACAAAAACGAAAAAUUAUCUAACAUUUGUUCUAACAAAUGAAACCUCGUCCAGCCACUAGACCACAUUCACACGCGCAGACGUAUCCAUGCAGAUCCUAUUUUUAUGGUAGAUCCCAUAAUUAUGGUAGAUCGUGAGAGUUUCUAUUGCAUGUGCGUUAAUUUUGAAUGACAUUUUCGUUUCCACUGCAUGCCACUGGUUUGAUUUGAAUGUUUUAUUUUCUCUAUAAAUAUAGGAUCUCUCCAACAGCCAUGCAGCUAGCCUCGUUAUAAUCAAUUUAUGGUAUAUACUGAUACUAAUUAUGAUACACAGUCUAGGUAUUUAUGCAAUGUGAUAGGCUGCAUAAAAAUUUGUUUUCUAUUGCAUGCGUACAAAUUUAGGAUAACAAGGAUGUGCGUGGAAGGAAAUGGAUUUGUAUGCAUGAAAAUAAAAAAAUCUGACUUAAAUGCUUUAUUUCCUCUAUAGAUAUAUGAUCUCUCCAACGGCCAAACCGCUAGGCUCGUUAGAACCAGUUUAUGAUAUAUAUUGAUACUAAUUAUAAUACACGGUGUACAAUGGCAUAGCUAGGAUAUUUUCAUGAGAUAUGCCAUAAGAAAAUUUUUAGAAAUAAUUUACUAUAAUCCAUAAUAAUUUAAUAUACGAAUAUGAAUAUAAAGAUAAAAAUAGCAUAUGAAACUAUAGUUUUAACAUUUAAGUCUAUUAUGCAUACAUUAUAAUGCAAAUUAAUAUGAAAUAGCCCAAACAUCAAGAACAAAAUAUACUAAUGAACGUCAGAUUUACAUAAUUAAAAUGUCCAAUCACUGUAUUUUACAAGUAAAUUGAUAGAACACAAUCUCAAAAUCAUUUCAUUACUAAUGAACUUUAGAUUUACAUAAUUAAAAUUGUAAAGAUAAAAAAUAGAGUUUAUUAAAAAAUUUAACCUCUCUUGUUGCGGCCUAUGGGGCGAUGCUCGGGCUUGGCCGCCUCGGCCGGAGAACUGAGAUGGCGGGACACAGGAGCAGGUGGCCUGGUGCAGUAUCCACAUGUUUGGUUUCUGUAUUUGGAGAGUCAGGCCAACUUGGCCCGUACGCGCAGAGCCUGCAUGCGCAGCGCAACUACCCUAGUGGGUAUGGCCGUAGCUUGGUUCAAGGCCACCUUUUGCAUGAGCUAAUGCACGCCAUGUCAACAACCCAGUCAACCAAACAAGAAAAAAAAUAAAAAAAUCAUGUAUCCCAUGACACAGAUCAAACAAAUGCAGAAACCAAUCACACGUAUGUGGCUCCACACACGCUCUGAAGUUAUGAGCAUAAAUUAUCAAUCCAACCUGAAAGUUGUUUGCAAACCUCUUGAUUUGGCAUAGAUAUACAUACAAAGUGACAUAAAAAUAUGUAUGAGAUUGUAUGUCAUCCCUACACCACGAACAUGCAUUCAGGCGCAUCCCCACCAGACGCAUGCAUGUAGUCCUAUUUAUUUGGCACUUCUGAACAAUAUGGCAACCACUAGGCACAUGCACGUGGUUUUUAUUUUUAUACAAAUCCAAAAAUUAUGACAGCUCAUAAAAGUUUUCAUUGCAUUCACAUAAAUUUUCAUUGCAUGUGCACAUAGCAUCCCCUCAUGCCGAACCACGCGUAUGCAUGCGCACGUGCACCAUCGAGUGACUCUUUCCCCCGAAAAAAUUGAAAACUGAUUUUACUAUUGUGCUUGUCGCGAUAAAAACUUUAAAACUGAUCUCACUUGACAUAUGUAUCUCAAGUUUUAUUAGGGUCAGUCAUUCUAUCUUUUAACUUCAGUAUUUCAUAGGGAUUAUUAGGAUAACGGUAACGGUAAGUGAGUCAGUCACUCUACAAAAAAUAUGCAUUACGAGGAAGGAAUUUAUCGAACUCGGUCAUUCUCUGAAUACUCAAUCAUUCCAUCUUUUUAGUCUUAGUCAUUUAUGAGAAUAAUUGAGAUAGAAGUCAUUUAGUGAGUCAGUCAUUGUACAAAAAACAGUCAUUACAAGAAAGAAAGUGAAACUCAGUCAUUCCAUGAAUGCUCAGUCCUUCCAUAUUUUUAGCCUCAGUCAAUAAUUGAGAAAGAAGCAUGUCGGUAUCCUAAAUCAGGGGUACCCCUUACUAGAGUAUGAAGACACGGUGCCCGCGCGGCUAUCUCUAGUCGCGUGGUGAACAACAGACGACCCCACCACGUGGACAGAUCCAGGGCCGCCACGUGGCCGGAUAAGACGAUAUAUUCCAGCAUAUCGGCAGAGGGUCCGGACCCCCAUGGGAAAGUGUCGGACCCCUAUACGUACGGACCGGACCUCCGGGCAAGGUCCAGAACCUCCACGGGCGUGCCCGGGCCCCCUGUGCAGGGUCCGGGCCACUCACAGCAAGGUCCGGGAUUCCGGGGCAAAGAAUACCCAGGCCUUGACCAAGGCUAGGCAGGGGUCCGGAGCUGACACGUGUCUGGACCAUACCGCGUAGGCUUCCGCUCCCCGCUCAGGCGGAGUCCCGAUCUGCCGCGUGGCCGACCGCCCGUGACGUAAGCCAACGGGUGGAGCCUGAAUUAAGGCCUCUGGGCCGCGCGUCCUCUGCAUUUAUUGCGGAUGAGUCGCGCCGCCUGCCAGCAUUAAAUGCGUCAUGUCUACUCCACUGACAAGCGAUGUGCCGCCUCAGCAUUAAAUGAGCCAUGUCCACUCUGCUGACGGGCGGCGACCAGGCCAUCCUGCAGGAGGCGUGCCUGUCCAUUCCGGUGGCAGACAGUACGCCUGUGCUGCGGCAUACGUUGUGCUCAUCAUCACUCAUACGUCCCCAGGGAAGCUUCCGCGGCACGCCAAUGCUACGUAGACCGCGGAUAUCAGAGCGCAAGGAGAUUGCACUGGCAACCAGCAUUAGUUGUUCCAAGUAUUACAUCUGUUAUGUCCCUGGGCCCCAAUGAUUUCAAGUCGCCUGGUCGCCUGGUCGAUCCCUGGGACCGACCAGACGACUAGUCGCGAUUAGGCGACGACUAGGGCGAUUAGUCGACUCCUAGUCGGUCCUAGUCGUUCCCUGGUCGUCCUAGUUUAGUAGUUAUACUUAUAUAGCUAUAUAUAUAAAUGUACAUGUAUACAACUACAUUAUAUAAAUUAGAAAGUCACUACUUAGCACAGCCUUAGGAUUAGGGCAGCCAACAACCAUCCACUAAUUUGGCAGAACUGCAGAGAAGGGGGAGAUGGGGGGAGAGCAGGAGGAACCUUGAGAUAACGAGCUCAUCUCCUCAAUGGUGCAGGUCUGCUGGAGCUUGGGAAGGGACAGGGUGGAGACUGCAGCUAGUGAACCUUAAGACAGUUGCCGCAGGUGGAGACUGCAGCAGGCGAGCAGGGGAAGGGCAGGGUGGUGUAGCCGCUGAUGAUGUAGCCGCCGGUGAGCUGUAGGUCUGUAGGGGCAGCCACCAGCGACCAAGUGUGAAUAAGGGCUGGAACAGUCGAGCUAGCAAGAGAGGAGAGUAGGAGACGCAGUGCACUGUUUGGCGGCUAGGUAUUACAGAGGAGACGAGAGGAGAGGGUAGUCUAAAGUAUACUGUAGAUGGCUGAAAAUGGCCCAAUAACAAAACCUAGCCAGGACGACCAGGAAACAGUAAUCGGGCGAUUAGUCGCCCUAAUCGGCGAUUAGUCGGACGACCAGGACGACCAGCCUAUCUAGUCGAGUCGUCCAGCUAAUUGAGCCCAAAUAGCCGACCAGCCCGACUAAUCGCGACUAAUCGCGAUUAGUCGGACAACUUGAAAUCAUUGUUGGGCCCGCAUGUCGGGGCUCAGCACCCAUGUACGUGCCCCCUUGAGCUAUAAAAGGGGAGGCACGCAAUGCUCACUAAGACUCAGAUACACUUAGACCCAGCUCAGGCUCACAAGUUCAUACAAGCUGCCUUUGGGUUGUCUUUUGCUCUUUUAUUUGAACCCUUCCUUGGACUUUUAUUGAUUUGUGUUGAACCUUUGGCACCUGUAGAACUCAUAAUCUAGAGCAAACUAGUUAGUCCAAUUAAUUUGUGUUGGGCAAUUCAACCACCAAAAUUUAUAUAGCAAAAGGUGUAAGCCUAUUUCCCUUUCAGGUGCUGUCGCUCAGGACGACAAAAAGAAGAAGAAGAAGAACCACAGCUCCGAGAGGCCACCGUCUGCCGCUCCGAUCGUCGCAGCUGCGAUUGGGGGCCGAAACGAGCACAACAAGCGCCCACGGCCGCAGAGGGGUAACAGCGGCUCAUGCCCUGUACACCCCAACUGUCGCCAUAGUGCCACGGAGUGUCGCGAGAUCAUCGAACUCGCGAAGCGCGUCAGCGAACGGUGCGAGCAGACCUCCAAGGAUGGCUCCCCUCCUCGCCGUCGGCCUGGCGAGGAAAGGGUCAACAGCGGCAAGGUAGCUGUGGGAGAACCGGACCUCUGGUAUCAGUCACCCGAGGAGGUCCUGAAGGAUGUUUUCACCGGAGACUCCGACCCUGGCGAUGACAACUAGUCGGGCCACCGGGGAGACCCCGUCCUUCCUAGUCUAUGGGGCUGAAGUCUGCCUUCCCCCAGAAACCUUUAUGGGCUCCUCACGGGUCUAGUAUUUUAACGAGUCUAUGCAGGAAUAGUCGCGGUGUAAGGACGUGGACUUGACCAAUGAACACAGAUGGCAAGCGGCAACCUAAAAUGCACGAUACAACCAAGCACUUAGGCGCCACCGCCAGCGGAUCGUGCAUGGUAAGGGACCCCGGGGUCCGGGACCUAGUCCUACGACGAGUACUGAACCGAGAAGGGCUCCACAAACUCUCCCCCAGUUGGGAAGGACCCUUCAAGGUGACGGAAGCAUGCCGACCCGGGAGUGCCCGCCUCGCCACAACUGAGGGAGUGCCUCUUCCCAAUCCCUGGAACAUAGAGCAUUCCUGUAAGUCCUACCCACAGAAGCAAGUCCGAGGGGUUAUGAUUCCUUCUUGUAACUAGGUUGUGCAUACGUGUACGCCAGCCCGGUGAGGUCCGCCCUCAUAAGCCCGGCCUGUUGGUCUGCACUCAUGCAUGUCAAGUUAUAAGGAAAAAAAUACCCCCCUCAGAUGUGCCCCUGUGAUGGUUUUAUUCUGCCACAGAUUCCAGAUAUUGUCAUUUUUUAUCUAACCCACCCAUACGGUUCCCAUCCCUGCUGACAUGAUGACAUCCGAAUUGAGUAGUCAGGCUUGCAGUUUAGGACCCCUCUGCGAAAGCAGGAGGGUCUGGCAGCCUGGGGGCCGGCUCUGGAGAACGGGAGCUCGUUCCAUGGAGUGGUCCAGAGCUGCGUAGCCGCUUAGCCCGGUUCCGUACCCUAGGCCUACGCAAUCCACCACUCUGUGACGGGUACCCUAGUAUUUGGAGCUAUAGUCCUGUGGGUCCGGUAACCUAGGGUCCGGUUCUAGAGAAUGGACGCUUGUCUCCUGGGGUGGUCCGGAGCCGUGUAGCCGCUUAGCAUGGUCCCAUACCGUAAGCCUGCACACUCCACCACUCUGCGACGGGUGUCCUAGUAUCUAGAACCGCGGUCCAGGGGGUACGGACACACAACUUGGCUUCCCAUACUAAAUCCUGUAGGUCCCGUGCCUAUAUCAAAGGAUGGCUAGUAUCAAGCGGUGGGUCCUAUGAUGUGCAACUAACGCUCCCUAGCCGAAGCUGUGCUCAAGUCCAGGUCCUAGUCGAGGCUGCCUCCUGGGAGCCGUUGCCAACUCUUUUAGGUAUGCUGGUAUCCAGCCUCGACAUGUUGAGCCUACAUCCCAGGGGGGCCAAGUACCAGGGAGGAGUCGGCAACGCCACACACAACAGGGACAAAUAGUAUGCAGAUAAGUGCUAAUACUGCUCGAUAAGUAGUACUCAAAAGUACCUUACAAAAACAAAGUGAUUACAUCCGCCUUCAAGCGGGGCCCUAGCCUUAUGUCUACAGGUAUGACCUACUCGACAUCAGUAGGGUCGCGAUGGAAGUGCGCGACCGCCAUCUCCUUGAGGCUGAUGAACAUCCUUGAAAGAGAUGGGCCAGCGGUCACCGUUGGAGGCGGCACCGAUGCCAUCAAAGCCAAAGAGAUGGAGCCGCAGCUCAGCUCGCUUCCCACCUCAUGGAGUUGGAGCUAGACCAGUUCAUGGUGGUGUACCAUGGGAUGCUGGUGAAGCUCACGCGAAAGAUGGAGCCGCAGCUCAGCUAGCCUUCCGCCUCCGGAAGGUCGCUGCGCAACACCCAUUCCUCCGAAUGCUGGAGGAAGAAGCGUCGCCCCCACGGACAUCUUGCAGUGGUAGGCGAUGAUGGCCGCCUGAAGGAUGAAGCAGGGCGUAAAGUGCUGAGGUUGGAGGCCAAGCUCCUCCAGCAGCAGCACGAAGAAAGACGAGAUCGGCAGCACCAACCCGCAGGAGAGGUUGGAGACGAAGAGCACAAACUCCCCGGCGGCGAGAUCGUCAUGAGGAGAAGCGCCGACACGGAUCCUUCCGGCGAACGCCGGCGCACCCCAUCCGAGCAGGUUGCGCACCAAGUCGAGUGCCACCUCGGACUGGAAGCACUCGGGAGGGUCUAGCAAGGCCAUGGCGGCUACAGCGGCAGAAGAGCGCGGAGAACUCGAGGGCGAAAGGGCGUUGCGAGUGAUGAGAAUGGCUACCACGCUCGGGAGAAUCCCUUUUUAAAGAAAUAUUCCCCCACUGACGCCCCGAGACGCCGCAGAAGAUCUCGCCCGACGAGCGCCAAGGUGACCCAGCCUCUGGCACAGGGGCCCGGGCCCACGAGUCAUCCUCCUUGGGCGUCGGUCUCCGUGUGCGAAGAAGGCUAACCGCCACGCGAGGAGCGAACCGCCGCGCCUCUUCAUCUCCGCCGAAAGCAGCGGGCCAGCCUCUGACACGGGGGCCCGGGCCCACGAGUCAUCCUCCUUCGGAAUCGGUCUCCGUGUGCGAAGAAGGCGAACCGCCACGCGAGGAGCGAACCACCGCGCCUCUUCAUCUCCGCUGAAAGUAGCGGGCCAGCCUCUGACACGGGGGCCUGGGCCCAUGAGUCAUACUCCUUGAGUGUCGGCCUCCGAGUGCGAAGAAGGCGAAUCGCCGCGGAGGGGCAGGCCGCCGCCCGUGGUAGUACGUCUCUUCACCUUCGCCGAAACCAACAACCCAGUCUCUGACACGGGGGCCCGGGCCCACGAGUCAUCCUCUCUGGGCACCGGUUCCUGGGUGCAGAGAAGUCGAACCACCGCUCGCGCCAGUACCGCGUCUUAUCGAGGCACCCCGCACGUGGCCCAGCAAAACCAUAAAGUGCGAAGGCCACGUGUCAGUCAGCCGCGGGGACAUGCGUGACAGUUGGCGUGACCGAAGGCGAACUGGCAGUAAUUAUGUCAGCAAGCGCAGAGAAGCAGCGUGCCAAUCGCCAAUCAAGCUUUGGCCCCACCUGCAGGCUCGUUUCCUCCCCUGAUGCGGGCCCGGGGGCCACUGUCGGUACCCUGAAUCAGGGGUACCCCUUACUACAGUAUGAAGACAUGGUGCCCGCUCGGCUAUCUCUAGUCGCGUGGUGAACAACAGCCAACCCCACAACAUGGACAGAUCUAGGGCCGCCACGUGGCCAGAUAAGACAAUAUAUUCCAGGAUAUCGGCAGACAGUCCGGACCCCAUGGGAAAGUGUCGGACCCCUGUACGUACGGACCGGACCUCCGGGCAAGGUCCAGAACCUCCACGGGCGUGCCCGGACCCCUGGGACGGGUCCUGGACCCCCUGUGCAGGGUCCGGGCCACUCACAGCAAGGUCCCGAGAUUCUAGGGCAAAGAAUACCCAGGCCUUGACCAAGGCCAGGCGGGGGUCCGGAGCUGACACGUGUCCGGACCAUAUCGCGUACACUUCCGCUCCCCGCUCAGGCGGAGUCCCGAUGCUGCCGCGUGGCCGACCGCCCGUGACGUAAGCCAACGGGCAGAGCCUGACGUAAGGCCUCUGGGCCGCGUGUCCUCCGCAUUUAUUGCGGAUGAGGCGCGCCGCCUGUCAAACUGGCAGGCGAUGUGUCGCCUCAGCAUUAAAUGCGUCCUGUCUACUCCACUGACAAGUGAUGUGCCGCCUCAGCAUUAAAUGAGCCCUGUCCACUCUGCUGACGGGCGGUGACCAGACCAUCCUGCAGGAGGCGUGCCUGUCCAUUCCGGUGGCAGGCAGUACGCCCGUGCUGCGGCAUACGUUGUGCUCAUCAUCACUCGUACGUCGCCAGGGAAGCUUCCGCGGCGCGCCAAUGCUACGCAGACCGCGGAUAUCAAAGCGCAAAGAGAUUGCACUGGCAACCAGCAUUAGUUGCUCCAAGUAUUACAUCCGUUAUGUCCUUAGGCCCGCAUGUCGGGGCUCAGCACCCUUGCACGUGCCCCCCUUGAGCUAUAAAAGGGGAGGCACACAAUGCUCACUAAGACUCAGAUACACUUAGACCCAGCUCAGGCUCACAAGUUCAUACAAGCUCUCAAGCUCAAUAUAUCACACAGUGGAGUAGGGUAUUACGCUCCGGCGGCCCAAACCACUCUAAACCCUUAUGUGUUCUUGUGUUCGUUCAUCACUUAGUAGACAUGCAAAACGCUUAGGCCCCUCCUCAUCUUAGGAUUUAGGGCGGGUGCGUUCCGCCACCUGACCGGAGAAUUUCCUCUCCGACAAAGCCAUUUGGUGAGUCCGUCAUUCUAAAAAACAAGCAUUACAAGAAAUAAAGUGAACAAACUCAGUCGUUAUAUGAAUACUCAGUCAUUUCAUCUUUUAGCCUCAGACGUUCAUGAGAAUAAUUGAGAUAGAAGUUAUUUAGUGAGUCAGUUAUUCUAAAAACCAUACAUUACAUGAAAGCAGGUGGCAAACUCAGUCAUUUUAUAAAUACUCAGUCAUUCUAUCUUUUAGCCUCAGACAUUCAUGAGAAAUACUAAGAGAUAAGUCAUUUUAUAAGGUGAGUUAUUCUAAAAACAGACAUUACAAGAAAGGAAGUGGACAAACACAAUUAUUCUAGUUAGUUGUCCGUUUAUUGCUAUGGUUUCUAGUUAUCAUUGUCUUGUAUGGUCACAAUUAGCGAGAGGAUCUAUGGAAAACCUUGGCUUGCCUCAGUAUGAAUUAAGUGGUUGGUAAACCACCAAACAUCUAGAUGAAAAUCGUCAUGUCAACUUGUUUUUCCGUUGCCUUGUAAUUCUCUUACACAAACUUGUAUUAACUUGUUUAUAUAUUUGUGCUUAUGUUGUUAUUCUUGUGUAUCCAAUUUACUUGUGUGUUUGGUUCGUGGCUAACUAGCCACACUUUAACUAAGGUUAGUCAUUUGAAUUGAAUAACUAACCUUAGGCAGAAAAGUUAGGCAAAGUGUGGUAAGUUAGGCAGUGGAGCAAACAGGUCGUAAAUUAGUUGCUCUCUUAUGGUAAUUAUCUGGCGCAGACGCGUAGCUAAGUAUAGUUGUACUAAAGUAGUUACUCUUUUAAAAUGAAAAUUGCGGAUAAAAAGAUUGAUGACGUUAGCUAGCUUGGUAAUUAAUCCAUGAUUUCGAGUAUGUACCAGCUGAAUACGUGUGUCAUUCGGCCUUCACAGUAUUUCCUUUAUAUUAAAGCCGGUUCAAAACGGUAACAAUGAAGCUAUCCACGUUAUCAAGAAAUCAUGCACCGUUUGAUCAGUGGAUGCGUGCCAUCCUAAUCCUCCAAUCUGCAUGCUCCACACAAAUAAAUAAAUUUCCUUUAUAUUAAAGCCGAUUCAACAAUGAAGCUAUCCAUAUCAUCAAGAAAUCAUGCACUGUUUGAUCAGUGGAUGCGUGCCAACCUAAUCCUCCAAUCUGCAUGUUCCACACAAAUAAAUAAAUUUCCUUUAUAUUAAAGCCGGUUCAAAACGGUAACAAUGAAGCUAUCCACGUCAUCAAGAAAUCAUGCACCGUUCGAUCAUUGGAUGUGUGCCAUGCUAAUCCUCCAAUCUGCAUGCUCCACACAAAUAAAUAAAUUUCAUUUAUAUUAAAGUCGGUUCAACAAUGAAGCUAUCCACAUCAUCAAGAAAUCAUGCACCGUUCGAUCAGUGGAUGUGUGCCAUCCUAAUCCUCCAAUCUGCAUGCUCCACACAAAUAAAUAAAUCCUAUGCAUCUCCACAGUGUUGGAGACUUCCAGGCGCUUCUUCUCCUCGCGCUCUCCCUCGCCGCCAUGUUCGCCUUUCUCUGCAGUGGCUCCUGUCGUCCCUCAUCGUCGUCCCACACCUCCCUCGUCUGCAAGCGCUGUCGCCUCCUCGUCUCCAACCCCAUCUGCCGCUUCCAUGUUCACCAUAGGGCGCCUCUCCUCCUCAGCUUCUUCGUCGACGAAGAUGGAGACAUCGAGUUCGUGCCCACACUGCACCAGUUCGAUCGCAUCACCAGCGCGCGAGAGAUGCUCGAUAUUAUGUCCCAACAAAAUGUGGUGUCCUGUACGAUGGUAGCCGUGGGAGUAAGCGCACAUAAGGCGUCCAAAAGAGGCAAUUGAGGUAUUUUGAUGGGUGCAUGUUGAAGGCCUCGAGCCUUGUAGAUUUCCAUUACCGUCAGUCCUUUCGGCCUAUGCAAAUCUACUUACUGUUGAUCUAGGACAGGGAUGCGGGAAUCUUCUUGACCUGAUGGAAUCUGCUUACUCAGUGCUAGUGGAGGUAUUUGAGGAUAUGAAGAAUAAUGUCUGAAUUGGACCACACUAAUUGUUGUUGACAUGUUCUGCCAUAUGGAGAUGGAGAAUAGGUCACCAAGUGAUGCCACAUUUCUUUGCAACCUUAUCAGCGUCUAUCCAUAUUUGACUAUCUAAUCUUAACGACAUGAUGUUUAUUCUUCUCGGAUUCUCAAAGGGGAACACUCACAUUCCAAGUGCCUCUCUCAAGGUGCCCAAGACAUACUAAGCAAAAAUCAUGUAUCCUAACUUGAUUACAUGCAUAGAUGCGGAUGGAAUAGGGGCAUAUGAUUGGUUCAAUCAAGGCCAUGCUCCUAUUGUGCCAUUUUAAUGCUAAAGAAUAAGAUAUCAGCAUCGCUGAAAACAACCUGAACAUAACCCAGGUAACCUAUGUCAAUUGUACUUACAUUUUCCAUAUCCAUGGUUUUAGGCUUCUACGAGACUGAUAAAGACUGAAAUUUGUCUAUGUUUUUUAAAGCAUACUAACAUUCAAGACAAGAUAGCAAUAAACCAAAUCAAUACUCCUAGCUCAUUGGAAUGUCCUCCUGCCUUAAUUUAUCCAGAUUCUUUGAGAAAGAGGUAAGCUCAAUGUUUGUUUCAGUCUAAUUUUUUAGUAUUUUUUAAUUUCUUCGCAUCUACUAAAGAAUUUAAAUUUGAACUAUGUCUCAGGAGAAGCAUUUGAAUGAUUACAGAACAAGAUGGUUUUACAAAUACUUUUGAUCUCACCCAACUGUGUGGUAUUUAUAGUUUGCUCAUUUGUAUACAAUCGUCGGCUUUACAACCUUGUUUGCUCAACCCAAAAAAAGGUGGACAGAGACUGUCUGUUUCAUCACUCACCAAGCACACCCAACUUAAAUUUAAGGAGAACAACACAAGAAGACAUGAAGCACCUAAACGGAAGUGAAUAAUUAAUUAACCAUAUAAAACCAUGUCCUCACACGUUAAAGUUGUUUACAUUUCCUCAUAAAUGAAUUUGUACAAAUUCGAACAAGCUUGUCAGCAUGUACGAGUAGUAUUUGUGUUAGAAAAUACAAGAAAAAAAGAUCUCUUAAGUUCUCAACUUUUGCUUGAUCUUGUGUGUUGGACUGUUAGUGUUCAUAUGGCGCAGCCCAAAUAUUCUUGUCCUGUAAUUGAACACAAGAAUCUGUUGAGUUGAUGUGCAGCCUCCUGUAAUUGAACACAAGAAUCUGUUUAGUUGGUGGUCUGGUCAUGGAGCUCAAAUUUGAUCCAAUAUGAAUUAUGAUACGUAUUGCGUACUCUAAAUAUUUAUGUUUAAUUUUUGCAAAAAAAAACUAUAUAAGCCUUAGCUGCAGCUAUAGCUGCUACAGAACCCAUUCGCUAAAAUACCUAGACUGAGAUUUUGAACAUUGAUGGCAGUGAAAGGAAUCAGGCUCCAAAAACAGGGAGCGAGAAUAUGUGUGUUGUCUUGCAAGUCCUCCUUCAUGAACGAGUUGCUUCUUUUAUUUUUUUAAACCUCUAAAUAUCUAUUCAAAAUCAUACACAGUACUUCACUUUGUUCUUCAUGAUAUACAAUUCUCUAAGUCAAAGGAACCUUGUGCCUCCUGUGUUUCCAUGCUUUACUAUUGAAUAAUGAACAUAACUGAUUCGCAAUUAUUUAGAGAAUGUUGUAGGAUUUUCCUAUUCUACCUAAACUAAAGUCACCCCAUCCUUCACCUGUUCAAUUACUCCAUAUGCACAAUUUUUAUAACAGAUAUAUGCACAUUUUUAUAACAAAUAAUUUUGGCAUCAUCAAGUGUAAAAACUUGCAGUGUCGUACUGUCUGCUAACAAAUUGUAAUACAGUUAGUUGUUGUGGGAAAUGGUAAUAUUUGUUGUUGUUUGAGCUGUCUUCUUUAAAUAAUGAACAUUGCAUUGAAGUUUUGUAGCUCAGUAGGAUGCCAUUGCUUUAUUUCUUCUUGCCAAUCUUUUGAGUGUCUAUAACUGAUUGACGCAGCCAUCCUGAAUUUUGAGAUGCAUCUGUUACAAUGGAAUCCUAUGUCAUGUACUCCUGCAAUACUUUUAUUUACAAAUAACAAAUCACUACACGCUUUCCACUUCUUUACAAGUAACUUCUUUAUGUAUAUUUUUUUUGCAGUACUUAAUGAGAAAUGGAAAGGUCCAACCGAUACAAUUGAAUAGUUACCCAAAAGGUUAUAUUCUGCAACAUAAUCUCUCAAUCUGUUACGCAUCUACACAUAUACAAUUUCUUUUAGUGUACAUUCGUUCAUAUGAAUUAUUUCGUAGCUGCCAUGAUGUCGUGCUUCCAUUUUUCUGUUUAAUUACUGAAACCAUAGUUCCUUAUAUACGAAAUCUAGUUCAAAACAGCCGCUCUCGCGGUGUCCACGUCGCCCAGAUGUUUUCAGGUGUACGAUUUCCAAUCAAUGGUGAAGGCAAGGUCUUUCUCUCAUGGUCAAUGCAUAUUCUACUUAUCCAGUUCGGCGCCAUCGUUUUGUUCAGUGUUUGCUCGGCUUCGUGGUUUUGGGGUUCGUAUUCUUCGUUUGUGAGAUUCAUCCGAAACUAAAUACCCUUUUUUCCCUUAUAUUUUCUACCUGUUGCUGCGUAUUAAAGAACCUUAUCAAGUUCGACGUCAGUGCCUCCAAGCGUUUUCUCUAGAAACUCUUUCCCUAGCCCCUCACCCUUUUCUCCUCCUCUGUUAGCAGAAUCAACAAUGAGUGUAGUUUGUUUCGUUUUCUAAUUUCUCUACUAUUCGUUCCCCAAAUAUUUUAUUUUUAAAUCAGGAAAAAAGGGGUUACUUACCUCUUUUUGGUUUUCGAUUUUUGUUGUUCAGAUUCUAAUCCUCUUUUCCUUUUUAAUCUAGAAAAGGAGGGGUUGUCUACCUCUUUUGGUUUUUGAUUUUUGUUGUCUAGAUUCUAAUCAUGUUUUCCUGCAAAGAAAGUACGUGGUUGGGCAGCGAGCAAGUGGCGUUUCUAUACGCGGAAGUAAGUCCUAUCAUAGUGUCUGCUUGAAAGUGCCUUGCGAUUUGUUGCUUCGCUUAAUGACAUGCAACAAAACAACAAGGGGAUUAACAUUUUACUUUCAAUACUUUAGACCGGCACUCAUGUCCGUUUUUGUAUUCAAUAUUGAAGGCCAAUUUCUGGCUUCUCUUUGCAAUGUGCUUUGUUGGGAUUGAAUCUAGAAUCAUUGUUCUUAAUAAUCUAGCACAAAUAUGAACUACUGCAGGUGCUGCCGACACCACCAUCUUGCUCUUUAUCUUCAGUAUCUGCAACUUUUUUGGCUGACUGGGGGAGGUGUUCUUAUUCCUGAGUCCCUUAGCUGAGGGUGAAAGGGCUAUAAAGCCAAGAAGAGGAAGAAGGGGUGAAGAAUUCAGGUUUUCGGAAGCAAUACUGAAGACUAUUUUUUGGUUUCUCUUUGCAAUAUGCUCUAUUGGGAUUGGAUUUUCAAUCACUGUUAUUAAUAAUCUAACACAAAUAUGAGUUGUUGCAUGUCAUGUCGACACAACCAUCUCACUCUCUGCCUUCAGUUUUUGCAAUUUUUGGCUGCCUGGGAGGUGUUGUUGUUCCUGAGUAUCUUGUCAGGUAACAGGAUAUUUCAUAUUUACUCUUGGAAAUAAUUGCUUUUGUAUGGUGAACCAUGCACAAUUAAACAUAGAAAAAUCAUGUUCCUUUGGUGUGAUUGGGUGGAAUCCAACGAUAAGAUGUAUGUUACUGUCAAACUUUGUAUGAAUGAUUUAGUCUACAUUUUGGAAGUGUCAUUCAUAGUUGAUGUUAGAAAGUGUACCACGACUAUCGUCUGGCAGAUAUGUCGGCCGACCUGUAUGGAAGUGUUGUCUCUGAUAUAGAUAGAGAGGAUUAGGGGGAUCUCAAUCCCUCUGAUUGAGGAUCUAAUUCUAGUCUCAAUCCCUAUGAUUGAGGAUCUGAUUCUAGUCUAGGAUCUUUCCUUAGGUGUAGAAGUUUUCCUUUUACCUCUCACCUUCCUCCCCUAUAUAUACUUGUACAUGUAAUGUCUAUUAUCAUCAAUACAAACACACGCUUUCAACUCA
rnacentral:lncRNA from 1 species